UACGGGGGGGGCAAGCGUUGUUCGGAAUUACUGGGCGUAAAGGGCUCGUAGGCGGCCAACUAAGUCCGACGUGAAAUCCCCAGGCUUAACCUGGGAACUGCGUCGGAUACUGGAUGGCUUGAAUUCGGGAGAGGGAUGCAGAAUUCCAGGUGUAGCGGUGAAAUGCGUAGAUAUCUGGAGGAAUACCGGUGGCGAAGGCGGCGUCCUGGACCGACAUUGACGCUGAUGAGCGAAAGCUAGGGGAGCAAACGGG
rnacentral:rRNA from 1 species